UGACCCACGGAUACUAUGAUUGCAGAAUGGCUUAGGGACGAUAGCGCCCGGAGUUUAGGCAGUUACCGCAGGUGCGGGAGGGAGGAGUGGGAGAAGGAGCGGGAACACGACGGGGAGUAGGGAGAGCGGCAGCGUCGAGGCCUCUUCGUGGAGCACUGGGUGGAGGGCCCGAAGCUGCCGCGGGAGGGCAGGUUUGUGAUGCGGCCCAUGUAUUCGCACCUGCUCUCGUUACCGUCCUCCUACAAGAUGAUGGACCACGACAGCCUCGCACUGGGCCGGCGGCUGGGGCAGCACGAGACCGAGUUGCCGCCGGGGCCGACGAGGUCGAAGCUGCCUAAGCAGAUGCUCUUGCCAGGGAAGUUGAAACUCGCGCCUUCGUGAGGGCCUCCCGACGGGUUCGACGUGGAGUUAGGGAUAUCAACCAGUUUCCAAAGUUCGUACUACAUGGACCUGAGGGGACGGCCACAACCCUACAGUAUGAGUAACUUGUUUAGCCUAAUGUGUUGUCCACUGGACUUUUGGCGUCGGCUACCCGUAUGGAAGGAAAACUUCACCAAGCUCAAUAUGGGUCUCAAAGUCAGCUUGGGUAAGAUGUAAAGGCCUCUCAGUAUACGUCCCUAUAUGUAAGGAUGUGAUCGACUACUUCAACAGUUUCCCCGUGUCUUCCGAGACUUCGGUUCUUAGUUAAACUUCCCGAUAGAUUAACCAUUACCUCAUUGGCUGAAUCUGAUGCUAAAUUUGAGAAAACACGGCAAACGUGUACCCUACCCAGAGUAUAGUUGGCUGGACAAACUCCUACAGUCACGACGAACGGUACCGUGUAAGACCCCUUUUCAUUUACUACACACGGUUCUUUUCUAUCUAUCUCAGGCAACCCUUGACUUUCUAGACUUAUUCAUGUUGUAAGAACGUGGUACGAUGGUGGUGGGACUUCAGGUUCUCUGUCGCAAGCACUUGUCGUCGAACGGUAGUUCGAAGUCUUUAGAUCCACUUUGUCUCUCCGGAAAGGGACACUCCUUCUCCUACCACCCCGAAAGUACCGGAGAGCCAGAAGGGCACUCGUCGCCUGUACAGUGCAACACCGGUCUCGAACCGCCAUCUAGAGAUGGUACGUGCUCACUACUUGAACGAUGAUAUACCGACCUACUACUACAUUCUCGACGGUAAGUGCGGUUUGGCUUUUCGAAUUAACCUAGUACCCUCAACUUAUGACGUUCUUAUCUGAUGUGAGUACUAUGUCCGUCGUACCACCUCAUAGUGUUUUUUAAGUGUCGGUACCCUAUAGCGCAUGAAUAAAUGUCACCUCUAGUACUAGAUACAUAGGGAAAGUGACCUUGCCUCCGUACCCAGUCUAGUAAUCCGAUGGCUCAACAGCUAAGUACCGCUGGUACCGUGAAACCCCCCGUUCAACGACCUAUAUGUGUUCCGAUACUAGUGUUAGAGUGGAAGGAGUGGUAUUUCCGUACAUUCGUUCGAAAUUUCAGGUCGUCCUCUUAGAUCGUAUAAUCUAACAGCAGAAGGUAGAAGUCACUGAACGGGCUACGGUGCAGACUUGGUUUGAAUUUAAGCUGUUCUCAAGUAGUAUACCGACUCCCAAAAACUGAUCAAUUGCUACAAAGUCCCCAGACCGGUGUGACAAGGACUCAUGUUCGGGUUUCUUAGCGACCGUAAGAUGUGGGUGACCGACGAACCUCUUUUCUAGAUUUAACUAGAUUUACUUUGUUAGUUUAAAACAUCUAUACAUAGAAUAAUAAAAAGGAUCGACAAAAAUAACAUCUAAAACUAUUUCUGAGAUUGACUUGGACAAAAGUCACACUUUGGGUUAUUUGUUAGGUUCCGAGACUAUUUAAAGGCGGAUGUAAGAGAACGACUCGCAAUCUUUGCUUGACAGAAUUGUGUUGGCAUAAAGAUGUGGGUGUUUGUGGUCUUUUCGUCUACUUUAUUUGUAUUUUAACCUGUAAUUGCAAUGUGUUCGCUGUACUCUUGAGUACUUGGUUAGUUGAACUUGAACAGGUUACUGUCUUCGGACUUCUAAGUAGGUUGUGUGGUACAUCAAGUGUCUUUCAAAAGCGACGGAUCAUCCUCAUUCCAUGAGGUAUUUCUUCAUAGUACUACUAGAUCUCUUUAUGAUGAUGGAGGCAAGACUUAAUUUUCUACAAAACCUAUAAAGUCAUACCUGAUGUAUGCCUGGUUUUAUUCACUUGUUUGUGUGAUCUUGUGUAGAUGUAUGUAGAUUAAGUCUCUUUUUUGUACGAUAUUAAACCUUGCCUCCCUCAUCGUUUGUUCCGAAGACGGUGUUGUUUGG
rnacentral:rRNA from 1 species